ACUUGUCCUUAUAAAGCCACUGUGCCGUCCUGGGGAUUCUGUCCAUGGUCGUAUCUAAACUCAAGGUCCUGGGCAGGUAAUGAAGACAGUGAGCAAAAUCUCUGCCUCUUAGCGCACAGCAGUAGAUGUUUCAUUGCUUUGAAUGGAAGAAAUCUUGCUCCAUCAACCACAGAGAGGCUGGCCCACGACAAGCAGGAGAAGUGGAUCCCACCUCUCUCCCUGUGUCCUCCCUUGAAAAGUACCAUUGCACCUGAGGAAGAAGGGAAAGAGCCUACUGAGUGCUGCGAGGGGAGCUCAGGCUGAAGUCAGGACCUGGAAGGUGCUCGUGCCAUUCAAGACUCACUGGCCAAUCAAAGCCUCUAUUCGUGCCAAUCAGAAUAGGAGGCGG
rnacentral:sRNA from 1 species